CAGGGCCAGAAGUUAACACACAGCUUAGCAA
rnacentral:piRNA from 1 species